GAUGAACGCUAGCGGCAGGCCUAACACAUGCAAGUCGAGGGGUAGAACACUUCGGUGUUUGAGACCGGCGCACGGGUGCGUAACGCGUAUGCAAUCUACCUUGUACAGGGGAAUAGCCCAGAGAAAUUUGGAUUAAUGCCCCAUAGUAUAUAACCUUCGCAUGUUGGUUAUAUUAAAGUUCCAACGGUACAAGAUGAGCAUGCGUCCCAUUAGUUAGUUGGUAAGGUAACGGCUUACCAAGACGAUGAUGGGUAGGGGUCCUGAGAGGGAGAUCCCCCACACUGGUACUGAGACACGGACCAGACGCCUACGGGAGGCAGCAGUGAGGAAUAUUGGUCAAUGGGCGCAAGCCUGAACCAGCCACGCCGCGUGCAGGAAGACGGUCCUAUGGAUUGUAAACUGCUUUUAUACAGGAAGAAACAACUCUACGUGUAGAGUCUUGACGGUACUGUAGGAAUAAGGAUCGGCUAACUCCGUGCCAGCAGCCGCCGUAAGAC
rnacentral:rRNA from 1 species